UGAAAACAAAUCCCCUGAAUGUGCCUGAUCUCAUCUAAUCUCGGAAGCUAAGCAGGGUCAGGCCUGGUACUUGGUUGGGAGAAAUGAAAACAAAUCUAAAAUUUAU
rnacentral:rRNA from 1 species